UUCUUCUUCAUCUUUCUUUCCGGUGACACCGAUCUUUUUCAUCCUCGGAGCGCCGCCGCCUCUUACCCUGUCGUCACCGUCUCCGCGAUUAUUUUUCGAAAUGGAGCACCGCCUGCUUCUUCAAUGAACCACCUCUAUUUUGUGAUUACCUUGCAUUGACAAUUAUGCUUAGUACAAAGUAAUUUUCACUUUGUACAUAUAGUCGUAUGAGUUUUCUUUGCUCUUGUGCAGUUUCAGGUAUGGUAGGUUUAUCUGUAGGAGAAGAAUGGUUCUUGUGAUGGUAGAAAAAGAUGACUUUAUCGACCUAUCUAUGUUGAAACUGGAGUCAUUCCUCAGUUUUAAUUCGCACACUUGAUGAACUUCAUGGUAGGCAAAUGGUUCGGCAAGAGUCAGAAUUGGUGCUACUGAAGUCAUUGCCAGUGUGAAGGCUGAACUUGGAAAACCAAGCUUAAUGCAACCUGACAAAGGGAAAGUCUUGAUAUAUAUAUUGAUGGUCGUUCGACUGCAGAGCCAGUUUUUGAGGGUCGAGGGCUCGAUCGUUUAUCAGUAGCAAACCUGUCAAAUUCUCUUCAACACUGUCUCUUGGGUGCGAAAAGUGGAGCAGGUCUAUCUUCCUCCUAAUGCAUAGAUUAUGCUUACUCAUGCUUUUUCCCCAUGUUCUUGCUUAUGGAUCUUGUUUUCUUUUUAGUCACGACGGUGAUAUCUUAAAUCUAUCGUUAGAAUUAUCUGGAAAUGCCCCAAUGCAGCUUUACUCUUUCGGCUUAGUGUUGAAAAUCAUACGAUUAGUUGGGAAUUGGAAAAAAUUGUUGACUUGAAGUUGGUAAGAAAUAAGCACAAGUAUGUGAAGAGGUGAAUUUGAAAAAGUUCCACAUUGGAGGGAUACCACACUUUAUUAGCGCUUAUACAUGUAGGUUGGCCAAAGAAUAGUGUGUCCCCUGGGGUAUGCGGGACAAGCAAUUUUGUGAAAGAGGGAGGACGCACCGUCAUAAACCAUCACACGCACAAGUAGUAAUCGUAUAGUUGAACUGAGUUGUUUUGUCUUGGAGGCGUCGAGAUUGAUCGUCUCUGCCUUGCACAAUUUAGGACAGUGCCGCGAAAUAUCUUAAAGAGAGUAGUGACCCAGUCCGCAACUCGACUUGGUAAUUUCUUCACCAGACAAUUUUUUCAAAACUGUAAAACAAACACUUAGUGAUCACUAGGGUGUGUUGUACACUAUAGUUUUUUAAGUGUUUGACUGCAAAAGUUUUUGUAGUUGUAGCUUUUGCUAAAUAAAUAGGAUUGUAUUUCAUAAAUUUUUGUCUUUUGAACUGUGCAGACUGAACUUUAGCUCUAAGAUGGUUGUUUAGUAUCAUCCAAUGUUAACCUUUGGCAUGAGCAUUGUCCAUACUUAUGCUAGAGAUGUAAUAAAGCUAUUGAUGAGCCUCAACCCUCUCUAAGUUUUUGGAACACAGACACCAAUCCAUCCGGCCACUCAUUGAAAACCGAAGAUAAUAUUCAAACUAUCGUCAUCUCUAGCAUUGCAUGUUGAAUAUUUUGACACUGUAAUCCACUGACAUAGUAUCUAAAAAGAAAAGUCCAAGUUGCCAAUGAUAAAAAUGAAGAAAGUAUCUUUGAUUUAAGAACAAAAAAAGGCAUGUCCUUAAUUUGAUCUUGAUUCCCAUCUUCCACUUGUUCCCCACUUUCCUGAUUCAUAUAUUGAAUUCCCUAAGCACAAGUAUCUUUAUCUUCUGUCCUUUUACAAGAUAUAUUCCUCACCAAGAGUCUACACUACACCAAACACUUUUCCUCCUACUUAUAACCUUCUAUCUUGGUUAUUGUUUUCUCAUCAUACCAUAAUAGCUCCAUUUUUGUAAACUAAGUUG